rnacentral:rRNA from 1 species
UGGGGAAUAUUGGACAAUGGGCGCAAGCCUGAUCCAGCCAUGCCGCGUGAGUGAUGAAGGCCUUAGGGUUGUAAAGCUCUUUCGCCGGUGAAGAUAAUGACGGUAACCGGAGAAGAAGCCCCGGCUAACUUCGUGCCAGCAGCCGCGAUAAUACGAAGGGGGCUAGCGUUGCUCGGAAUCACUGGGCGUAAAGCGCACGUAGGCGGAUCGUUAAGUCAGGGGUGAAAUCCUGGAGCUCAACUCCAGAACUGCCCUUGAUACUGGCGAUCUCGAGUUCGAGAGAGGUUGGUGGAACUCCGAGUGUAGAGGUGAAAUUCGUAGAUAUUCGGAAGAACACCAGUGGCGAAGGCGGCCAACUGGCUCGAUACUGACGCUGAGGUGCGAAAGCGUGGGGAGCAAAACAGGAUUAGAUACCCUGGUAGUCCACGCCGUAAAACGAUGGAUGCUAGCCGUUGGGGGGUUUACCUCUCAGUGGCGCAGCUAACGCCUUAAGCAUCCCGCCUGGGGAGUACGGUCGCAAGAUUAAAAACUCAAAUGAAUUGACGGGGUCAUAGCUGUUUCCU